CGAGCGAGAGCACUGGAGUUCGUGUGCUAAAAGCACUUUUCGCUAGCAAGUAGCUCUACUGUUAUUGGAAAGUGCCUUUCCUCAUGAGUUCCAGUACCCUCUCUUGUCAGCCCAUUUGUACUGUUUACCCUUGGCACCGUGUGAAUCACACGUGGGAGAUAGAAAGAGGAAAGCGUGACACGCGGACGAUGAGGAGGUUCUCCAACUUGCAGAUAUCAGAACGUCGGUUACUUCGCUGGCUCGCUCUCCUGCCUUCUCAUAGCCAAUAUCGGACCCUCCAAUCCGCCAUUGUUGCUUGUUUGUUGCUUCUUCGGGCAGGCAGAACCGCAGAAGCCAAUGGGGCAGAGUGGAGACGGGCUUCCAAUUCCUAGACGGCGGAAGUCCAUCAGGUCAACGGGCUGCUCAAGCAACAAAAUGCAUGGAAUCACACAAGAGCACGUGAAACUACAAAAAGCUUCUAAGCGUAUCCAGGAUGAAAAGGGGAGAACUGCAGCUAAGUGCCUGCCCCGCGAGACAGGUGUGGACUCAUGGAAGAGGAGGCACAUAUGGUCAGAAGAGG